AUGAUGGACAUGAUAUAAUGAAACAACAUUGUGGAGAGGAAAGCAUUAGGGGAGCCCACGGCUACAAAACAAGUGAGAAGAGGUGGGAGAAAGAGAAACUACGCCACCUCCUCUGCAGCCGAGCGCACGCAGCAGCCUGGCGUGACAAGUGGGCGACGCCAGGGACAGAGAGUGGGGGUCCUCCGCCCGCUCCGGGGACCCUGUCGCCCACCGUGGUGCGCUGAGCAACUUUUAGCCGGCAGCCCCGCACCUGUCUCAGAGUCCCCAUCGCUCCCCACCAACCAUCAUGGGAAAAUUCUAGAAGAAUACGCUCUCGGAAUCUACGUGCGCAUCAUUUUCCUCCUCACUCCAGAGGAAGGAACCAGAAAAGAGAGCAAAGCGGUGUAGUGUUCAGCCUCAAGAACCCCCGUGCAUCCCAGGGAUGGCGCCCUCUACAGGAGGGUCCUUGCCUCACUUUCGGGAGUCUCUUAACUGCAUCUCGUUGAUUCCUAGCGUUAGAAGAACUGAGCUAACAGGAGUCUGCCACCUCUCUGCCUUGCUGAUGCACCCAGGCAGGGCUCACUGGUUUGCAGGAGUACAUGACCACAGAUCAGAGCCAUUGGCUGCACAGAUACCUGACUCUGGGCUCUCAGGAAGACUCAGGCAGAGAUGGGGAGUCGGCCUGCAAGCUGGGACGCUAGAGCUCACGUGCAGUUCUCCAUUUAGCUAGGAGGUUUCCAGGGCAACCACCGAAGCAGUAAUUAAAGAUGAAGAGCUAAAAGGUAAGUACUUCCAAACCUGAAUCCUGAAGGAGGUGGUCCGCAGGCUGGUGUCACAGUGUGCACUCUUAUUCACUUAACAUUAAGUAAAUAAUUUUUUAAAUACAUUUUUGAAAACCUCUGAUGAGAGGAUACACACUAAAUUAGGAUGUUCAUGCUCUGCUUUGAUUUGUAUCUUUUCACGCGCGCACGUAUUCUUGUAUGUACGUACACACCACACACACACACACACAUUUUUAUGCUUCCACCAGCCAGUCAUGGGACCAGGCAUUGGGAUACCAGGGCUUAAGGUGUCUUUCGGGUUCCUGUUUUGAACGUCCUAGCAUGCAUGUAUAUAUAUAUACAUACAUACAUAUAUAUAUAUACACAUUUAAGGCAUGCAAACGAGCAACUGCAGAGGCGUCUACAGUACUUAGCGUGUAGCAGGAACAUCCAGGCUCUCCAGGCAGUUCACGGGUGCUUACACAGCCUGACGAGGUGCUCGCCGUGCCGCCAUCCUUUCCUUGAGCGAACUGUACCCUGGGUUAUGAACCUUGUUUGCCUGAUAGUUCAGGGCAUCAGUGCAGUAACAGGGCUGAUGAGAGAGAGCUCCACCAAAGCAGCAGCGCCAUUGAGAAGGUAGAAGACAGCUAUUUUAACGGAAGCUUCAGAAGCUCAUGAGUCUAUUCCCAGGAGUAUGGGUAAAGUUUGCUCAUGCAAAUGCUGCAUUUCAUGAGUCCAUGGGUUAAAGCAGUUACGGACCCUGGAAGAUGGGAGAUACUUACAAAAAGCAAAGCCCAGAUCUCCACACCUUCAAAGAGAAGAUGCUCAAAUCUCCAAUUUUCAGACCAGUGCUUUUUUCAGUUAUGCACUGGUAUAUGGCUGAAACUGUAGGUGGCAUGGGAGACUUUGGUAAGUGUAGGCCCUAGGAUAUCUGUCCCACCAUUUUCCCUGUAACAAAAGUAAGGAAUCUGUAA
rnacentral:lncRNA from 1 species